GGAAACAUGCCUGAACAAAAGGGCCACUUUGAUAGAGUGGAUCAUGAGAGUUAGAGCCUCCCUGUUUCCU
rnacentral:tRNA from 1 species